rnacentral:rRNA from 1 species
CUACCAUGCAAGUCGAACGAGAGCGUAGAGAAAGCUUGCUUUUUCUACAAUCUAGUGGCAAACGGGUGAGUAACGCGUAAACAACCUGCCCUACGGAUGGGGACAACAGCUGGAAACGGCUGCUAAUACCGAAUACGUUCCGAAAGUCGCAUGACUGUCGGAAGAAAGGAUGGCCUCUAUUUAUAAGCUAUCGCCGGAGGAGGGGUUUGCGUCUGAUUAGCUAGUUGGAGGGGUAACGGCCCACCAAGGCGACGAUCAGUAGCCGGUCUGAGAGGAUGAACGGCCACAUUGGAACUGAGACACGGUCCAGACUCCUACGGGAGGCAGCAGUGGGGAAUCUUCCGCAAUGGGCGAAAGCCUGACGGAGCAACGCCGCGUGAGUGAAGACGGCCUUCGGGUUGUAAAGCUCUGUUAUACGGGACGAAUAAUCUUGUGGUUAAUACCCAUNAGAAGUGACGGUACCGUAAGAGAAAGCCACGGCUAACUACGUGCCAGCAGCCGCGGUAAUACGUAGGUGGCAAGCGUUGUCCGGAAUUAUUGGGCGUAAAGGGCGCGCAGGCGGCUUCUUAAGUCUGUCUUAAAAGUGCGGGGCUUAACCCCGUGAUGGGAUGGAAACUGGGAAGCUCAGAGUAUCGGAGAGGAAAGCGGAAUUCCUAGUGUAGCGGUGAAAUGCGUAGAUAUUAGGAGGAACACCAGUGGCGAAAGCGACUUUCUGGACGAAAACUGACGCUGAGGCGCGAAAGCCAGGGGAGCGAACGGGAUUAGAUACCCCGGUAGUCCUGGCCGUAAACGAUGGGUACUAGGUGUAGGAGGUAUCGA